CCUACUUUAACCUGUAUCUCAGAGUAGCUUGCUAUCUUAUGUGUAAUUUAGGAAAAUACUCAACCUGAAGAUAGAAUUAUUUCAGGAAAAAUAAUUUUCUAGAUGUUUUAUCUUCAGAGUCAUAUAUUCUAAGUUCUUCCCUUAUGUUAUAUAAGGUCAUAUCUGCCGUAGAUAAAGCUACACGAUAAACCUCAUAGAUGAGGAAUACUCAAGUCAGGUGCCAUGGUGAUUUCAAACACGAACAUGGAUUGGAUCUGGUGGGAUGUAUGAACCAAGUGUCAAAGCAGCUUCACAGAGAAUGGAUCCGGUGAAGAACUGUCUCUAGCUGAGCAUGCUCAAUUGAAUGCUGGACAAGACAAAUGGACUGGAAGAUCCACACUCCUGGAAGUAGCCUUCAAUCAACAACGACGAACAGUUCAUGGCUAGAAACUCUCACUUUAUCCCUUAGUUGGGCUUACCCUGUGUGAACAUAGACCUUGUCAGCAGCACCACUGCUGUCUAGCACUGUUGAGUUCCAGUUGCUCAGCAAAGUGUGGUGGAUCAAGAA
rnacentral:lncRNA from 13 species